rnacentral:rRNA from 1 species
GACGAACGCUGGCGGCGUGCUUAACACAUGCAAGUCGAGCGGUAAGGCCCUUUCGGGGGUACACGAGCGGCGAACGGGUGAGUAACACGUGGGUGACCUGCCCUCAGCUCUGGGAUAAGCCUGGGAAACUGGGUCUAAUACCGGAUAUGACUCCAUGACGCAUGUUGUGGGGUGAAAGCCUUGUGCGGCUGAGGAUGGGCCCGCGGCCUAUCAGCUUGUUGGUGGGGUGAGGCCUACCAAGGCGACGACGGGUAGCCGGCCUGAGAGGGCGACCGGCCACACUGGGACUGAGACACGGCCCAGACUCCUACGGGAGGCAGCAGUGGGGAAUCUUGCGCAAUGGGCGAAAGCCUGACGCAGCGACGCCGCGUGAGGGAUGACGGCCUGG